UGGGGAAUAUUGGACAAUGGGCGAAAGCCUUAUCCAGCCAUGCCGCGUGUGUGAAGAAGGUCUUCGGAUUGUAAAGCACUUUAAUUUGGGAGGAAGGCAGUCGUUAAUACCUUGCUGUUUUGACGUUACCGACAG
rnacentral:rRNA from 1 species